UUUGUUUUCCUUACGUGCUCAGAAAAGGCCUAGAUAAAUGGAGCUUGAGGAUACAAAAAUGUGUCAGAAUGAAAUCCUCAUGAAAAUAUUACAUGGAAGUCAUCACAACUCCACGGGACUUGGAGUACCUCUCUGCACCAAGAUAGCUGGCUGAUUUUCUGCUCAGUCACAAUUUUACUUGAAAGCAAGAAUUGUCCUAGCUCCUUUUCCAUUAUCCCAAAAAGUUUAACAUUCAAAGCAGGGUCUCAUUAAAAAAGAAACUACUGGUCAGUUAAUAUAAUUGAGAUAUCACAAUUUCAGAAUAAACAUUUUAUUAAAAAUAAAAAUAAAAAAGUAUUCUAUAGUAAAAUAUUAGUGGAUGUUCAAAAAAAGCUGAUAAAGGUAAUUCUACUUUGUCCUCUGAUGUACACACACACACACACACACACACACACACACACACCUGUCUCCCUUUUUAACAUGAUAGAAGGUAUCUUUUGCUGAUUCUUCUAGGCUACCUCCUCCAACUAAUGCUUCAGACAUGUAAGCACUACAAGAACCUUACCAUCUCCUACUCCUAGAUCAGUCCCUGACUCCACCUGAUGAAGGAGGACAUACACUCCCAGGGGAGCCUUGGGGUCUGGAGAAGUCUGCACCCUGGCUGGGAACAUUUACAUCUCAACCUGUCUUGAAGGUGUCUUCGUGGUCUUUUUCAAAGAGGUGGAGAACAGGGCACUGACAAGGUGGGCGCCAGUGACCCAAACACCCAGGAGGUACUCCUUAUUCUACACCACCAAAGUAAAAGAUGUAAAAAAGGAGGCAUGGCAGGACAAAGCCACUUGCUCAAGGUCUCAUGGAAAGAAUGUACAGCUGGAAUCAGUCCUUUCAAUUUCAAGCCCUAUUUUGCUUUUCCACUGUGCCAUUCCCAAAGCCAUCAGAGGAGGAUGUAAUGUAGGCCCAGACCCCUAAUCUGUCUAUGUGUGAAGAAGAGUUUCUUCAACUCUCAAAUAUGUAUGCAUCCUCAGUGUCAGCACUGAGUAUGUGCUCCUCACAUCCAAAGAUCCCAACACCAAUCACUGGCAUAUAAAAGUACCCUUCGAGACACUGUCUAGUGGUGAUACCAUAGCUGCAUAAAGCUGUCCAUAACUGUUUGAUCAAAGAUCUUGGCAGUAGAUUAGCCAGACAGAGAGUGGGGUGCCGUCUACUGCCAUGAUACGCAGAAGGGCUCUGCAAUUAGCUCAGGGGGCCUCAGCUUGGAUGUAUAAUAUCCCUACUUGUCCCUGGUUAAAUAUUUUGCACAGCAGGCUUUGAAAGUCAGUGCAACCUAGGGACAUGACCAGAGGAAAAUAAACACAAAUAGUGCACCAC
rnacentral:lncRNA from 1 species